CCAUCUGAGUAUGAGGCACGCCGUAGUGGGGGACUCCGAAUUAAUUUGGACCACCUGGGGUUCUUUAACGUGCGCCAAAAUAAGUACACGGGUGAUUUCUGCAUUUCGUCGCCUCCAUCGAAAUGCGGCCGCCGUGGCCGGGAUUCGAUCCCGCGACCUCGUGCUCAGCAGCCCAA
rnacentral:lncRNA from 1 species